rnacentral:rRNA from 1 species
AAUCAAGUGUAAGAAGGGCAUUCGGUGGAUGCCUUGGCGACAAGAGGCGAUGAAGGACGUGAUACGCUGCGAUAAGCGUCGGGGAGCUGCGAAUAAGCUUUGAUCCGGCGAUUUCCGAAUGGGGCAACCCACUCCGUAUGGAGUAUCCCGCAAGGGAAGCAAACCCGGGGAACUGAAACAUCUAAGUACCCGGAGGAAAGGACAUCAACCGAGACUCCGCUAGUAGUGGCGAGCGAACGCGGACCAGGCCAGUGGUCUACAUUUAAGAACCGGAACGCUCUGGAAAGUGCGGCCUCAGCGGGUGAUAGCCCCGUACGGGUAGAAAGAGUGUAGAUCCUCGAGUAGGGCGGGACACGUGAAAUCCUGUCUGAACAUGGGGGGACCACCCUCCAAGCCUAAGUACUCCUUGUCGACCGAUAGCGAACAAGUACCGUGAGGGAAAGGUGAAAAGCACCCCGACGAGGGGAGUGAAACAGAUCCUGAAACCGGAUGCCUACAAACAGUUGGAGCCCAAGGUUCGUCCUGGGUGACAGCGUACCUUUUGUAUAAUGGGUCAGCGACUUAAUUUAACGAGCAAGCUUAAGCCGGUAGGUGUAGGCGUAGCGAAAGCGAGUCUGAAUAGGGCGAUUUAGUUCGUUGGAUUAGACCCGAAACCGGGUGAUCUAGCCAUGACCAGGUUGAAGGUGCGGUAACACGCACUGGAGGACCGAACCCACGCCUGUUGAAAAAGUCGGGGAUGAGUUGUGGCUAGGGGUGAAAGGCCAAUCAAACUCGGAAAUAGCUGGUUCUCCGCGAAAUCUAUUUAGGUAGAGCGUCGGCCGAAUACUCUCGGGGGUAGAGCACUGGAUGGGCUAUGGGGGCUUACCGCCUUACUGAUCCUAACCAAACUCCGAAUACCGAGAAGUACUAGCCGGCAGACACACAGUGGGUGCUAACGUCCAUUGUGAAGAGGGAAACAACCCUGACCGCCAGUUAAGGUCCCUAAGUUAUGGCUAAGUGGGAAAGGAUGUAGAACUCCCAAAACAACCAGGAUGUUGGCUUAGAAGCAGCCAUCAUUUAAAGAAAGCGUAACAGCUCACUGGUCUAAAUAAGGGGUUCCGCGCCGAAAAUGUACCGGGGCUCAAGCCAUACACCGAAACUGCGGGUGCAUCUUCGGAUGCGCGGUAGCGGAGCGUUCUGUAAGUCUGCGAAGGGAGACCCGUGAGGGCUCCUGGAGAUAUCAGAAGUGCGAAUGCUGACAUGAGUAACGAUAAAGGGUGUGAGAGACACCCUCGCCGAAAGUCCAAGGGUUCCUGCUCAACGUUAAUCGGAGCAGGGUUAGCCGGCCCCUAAGGCGAGGCCGAAAGGCGUAGUCGAUGGGAAUGCAGUUAAUAUUCUGCAGCUUGUGGGUAGUGACGGAUGCCGUGUGUUGUAUCCCCUUACUGGAUUGGGGGUGCAGCGAAGGUGUUCCAGGAAAUAGCUCCCACGUAUAAACCGUACCCGAAACCGACACAGGUGGACUGGUAGAGCAUACCAAGGCGCUUGAGAGAACUGUGCUGAAGGAACUCGGCAAAUUGCUCCCGUAAGUUCGCGAGAAGGGAGACCUCAUAGUGGGCAACCAUUGUGGGGUGGCACAGACCAGGGGGUGGCGACUGUUUAUCAAAAACACAGGGCUCUGCGAAGUCGCAAGACGACGUAUAGGGUCUGACGCCUGCCCGGUGCCGGAAGGUUAAGAGGAGGUGUGCAAGCUCCGAAUUGAAGCCCCGGUAAACGGCGGCCGUAACUAUAACGGUCCUAAGGUAGCGAAAUUCCUUGUCGGGUAAGUUCCGACCUGCACGAAUGGCGUAAC